UCGUAACAAGGUCUCCGUAGGUGAACCUGCGGAGGGAUCAUUACACAAUAACCAGGCGGGCUGGACACCCCCCGCUGGGCACUGCUUCACGGCGUGCGCGGCGGGGCCGGCCCUGCUGAAUUAUUCACCCGUGUCUUUUGCGUACUUCUUGUUUCCUGGGUGGGCUCGCCCGCCCUCAGGACCAACCACAAACCUUUUGCAAUAGCAAUCAGCGUCAGUAACAACGUAAUUAAUUACAACUUUCAACAACGGAUCUCUUGGUUCUGGCAUCGAUGAAGAACGCAGCGAAAUGCGAUACGUAGUGUGAAUUGCAGAAUUCAGUGAAUCAUCGAAUCUUUGAACGCACAUUGCGCCCUUUGGUAUUCCAAAGGGCAUGCCUGUUCGAGCGUCAUUUGUACCCUCAAGCUUUGCUUGGUGUUGGGCGUCUUUUGUCUCCAGUUCGCUGGAGACUCGCCUUAAAGUCAUUGGCAGCCGGCCUACUGGUUUCGGAGCGCAGCACAAGUCGCACUCUUCGCCAGCCAAGGUCAGCGUCCAGCAAGCCUUUUUUUCAACCUUUGACCUCGGAUCAGGUAGGGAUACCCGCUGAACCUAA
rnacentral:misc_RNA from 1 species